rnacentral:rRNA from 1 species
AAUCAACGCUGGCGGCGUGCCUCAGACAUGCAAGUCGAACGCGAAAUUUCCCUUCGGGGAGAAAGUAGAGUGGCGCACGGGUGAGUAACACGUAGGUAAUCUACCUUUGGAUGGGGAAUAACACCGAGAAAUCGGUGCUGAUACCGCAUAAUGCAGCGGCACCUAAUGGUGACAGUUGUUAAAGCGGGGGAUCGCAAGACCUCGCGUCUAAAGAGGGGCCUGCGGCGGAUUAGCUAGUUGGUAAGGUAAUGGCUUACCAAGGCGACGAUCCGUAACCGGCCUGAGAGGGCGGUCGGUCACACUGACACUGACAUACGGGUCAGACUCCUACGGGAGGCAGCAGUCGGGAAUUUUGGGCAAUGGGCGAAAGCCUGACCCAGCAACGCCGCGUGAAGGAUGAAAUCCCUCGGGAUGUAAACUUCGCAAGAACGGGAAGAAUAAGCCGGUGUGAAUACCACCGGCGAUGACGGUACCGUUUGUAAGCUCCGGCUAACUCCGUGCCAGCAGCCGCGGUAAUAC